CAACCCUCAGGCGGCUCUUUUGGUCUGUCUGGUCUUGGGCAUCGUCCAAGGACGUGUCUUAAAAGAAUUGGCGGCGUAGGUGCCGGCUUCGAGCGUAGCAGAUGCGAUUCGCUUUGGAAGCCGGCGCUCACCUUGCCAGAAUAAUUUCUGAAU
rnacentral:misc_RNA from 1 species